UACGUAGGGUGCAAGCGUUGUCCGGAAUUAUUGGGCGUAAAGAGCUCGUAGGCGGCUUGUCGCGUCGACUGUGAAAACCCGGGGCUCAACCCCGGGCCUGCAGUCGAUACGGGCAAGCUUGAGUGCGGUAGGGGAGACUGGAAUUCCUGGUGUAGCGGUGAAAUGCGCAGAUAUCAGGAGGAGCACCGGUGGCGAAGGCGGGUCUCUGGGCCGUAACUGACGCUGAGGAGCGAAAGCGUGGGGAGCGAACAGG
rnacentral:rRNA from 1 species